UACGGAGGGGGCAAGCGUUGUUCGGAUUUAUUGGGCGUAAAGCGCGUGUAGGCGGUACGGUAAGUCGGAUGUUAAAGACCCACGGCUCACCCGGGGGAGUGCGUUCGAUACUGCCGUGCUAGAGUGCAGGAGAGGAAAGUGGAAUUCCUGGUGUAGCGGUGAAAUGCGUAGAUAUCAGGAGGAACACCGGUGGCGAAGGCGGCUUUCUGGCCUGUAACUGACGCUGAGACGCGAAAGCAUGGGGAGCGAACGGGAUUAGAUACCCCGGUAGUCCAUGCCGUAAACGUUGGAUACUAGGUGUUGGAGGUUUUCUACCCCUUCAGUGCCGCAGCUAACGCAUUAAGUAUCCCGCCUGGGGAGUACGACCGCAAGGUUGAA
rnacentral:rRNA from 1 species